rnacentral:rRNA from 1 species
AGUGAACGCUGGCGGUAGGCCUAACACAUGCAAGUCGAACGGCAGCACAGUAAGAGCUUGCUCUUACGGGUGGCGAGUGGCGGACGGGUGAGGAAUACAUCGGAAUCUACUUUUUCGUGGGGGAUAACGUAGGGAAACUUACGCUAAUACCGCAUACGACCUACGGGUGAAAGCAGGGGAUCUUCGGACCUUGCGCGAUUGAAUGAGCCGAUGUCGGAUUAGCUAGUUGGCGGGGUAAAGGCCCACCAAGGCGACGAUCCGUAGCUGGUCUGAGAGGAUGAUCAGCCACACUGGAACUGAGACACGGUCCAGACUCCUACGGGAGGCAGCAGUGGGGAAUAUUGGACAAUGGGCGCAAGCCUGAACCAGCCAUACCGCGUGGGUGAAGAAGGCCUUCGGGUUGUAAAGCCCUUUUGCUGGGAAAGAAAAGCGGCAGGUUAAUACCCCGCUGUUCUGACGGUACCCAAAGAAUAAGCACCGGCUAACUUCGUG